GCUCCUGUAGCUCAGCGGCUAGAGCGCAUGGCUGUUAACCAUGAGGUCGCCGGUUCGAGCCCGGCCAGGGGCG
rnacentral:tRNA from 1 species